UGCGAUAUCAAAUGUACUUUUUUUGGGGAAAAUUGGGCAGUGAGACUGCUUCAUCGCAACCAGUGUGAGUUUAGAGGGUGCAUGUUCACUUUUGUAGAAGUUCAAAAUGUACUGACGAUUGUUUGCUUAUUUUUUGUUUGUUUGUUUAAAUCUUAAAGGAAUACUGUCGUCUGCAUUUUUACAAUUUUGUUUUCUUCUAUUGAACCGAUUACAGUGGAUAUAGAGUUUUAUUAUAUAGCGAAAUCUUUGUAAACUGCCACAGAAAGAAAGUGUUAUUUAGAAGGGAAAUUGACAAGUUUUAAAGAGUAAUUGUACAAUCAUUUGAGGACAGAGGAACACUGCAUUAUACUAAUAAGGGUUUAAUUACCAAAAAAAGUUUAAUGUUGCUUUGGAAGGAAUAUUAAGUAAGUUGUCUUUGUCUCUUACUUUUUAAUUUUAGUCGCUGAUUUAGCCUGUUGGGUCACAUUUUUUGUUAGUGCUGAAGGCUGCCAUGAAUCCAUAAUGAGGCCCCUUUGCACAUGAUUUUGGCACCUGGCCAAAAUCAACUUCCCAGCGGCAAGCUUUCUCUAAAGAACCUGGAGCAAUUUCUUUCUUUCUUUCUUUUUUUUUUUUGAUCUGGAAUCAUGUCUGAAAGCUGCCACAACCAGUUGUAUAGGCAUGUCAAAAUGACUUUAUACAGUCAAUAUGAAACAAGCAUUAAAUAUUUUUUUCUCAUAUUGGUGCUUUUAUCAUUAUGAAUUCCUUGCUUGUUGCCACCUAAGAUACGAUGGAACAAGCACAGUCUUAAAGAAGAUUUACUGAUUUUUUGUUUUUCUCAGCAGACCAGAGUAGGAUAUCCAUAAAAAUUCAUCAGACAGUGUUUUACUACUGAGCUACAAAGGGAAAAACUUAAAAUGGAUAUGAAAAGUGAAGAAAGUGAUCAUAGGAGAAAACCAUUUCAGAUGACAAGAGCACCUCAAAGGCAGCAGCCUCUAGGAGCAGCCAUGGUCCCAGAGUUGUCCCACGGAUGCAGAAAACGUAAUGGAGGAGUCUGAGUGUGCAAUGCAUCCCUAACAGAAUUCCAGAGAGCAAUGAUGUGCCAGGCUCUGUGUAUGGGACAGGGACACAGUGGUGAACCAACACAAAGAAUGGGAUACCUGCCUGGCACUUACCAAGCUACACUUGAAGAGGAUCAGUCCAUAUCAUCAUGUCCCCAAUUUCACAGCACCAAGUAUUUUAUUUGUUCAUAAAUGCCCUAUUGUGGACAUCUAGCAAAAAACAAUACAUCAAAAAUGAGAUAUGCAUAAAUUUUCAUGGAAUAAGGUAUAAAGCCCAACUCUCAAUACAUACUGAACAUAACAGGAGUCUAGGAAAUAUUCUAAAACAAAUGGGAAUGCAGAAUGUGCCACAGAAAAUAAGACACAUCAAUGAGGGUAGGUUUGAAAUACCAAUUUAAGGCAGACUUUUACCCUUUGGCCAGGCUGUAACAUUAAAAUUCCAUAGUUAAGAACUUACUAUAUAUUCAGGCGUUUUAAGAACUCUGCAUAUAUAAUUACAUUUGACCCUUCUAAUGCCUUUAUCAGAUAGGUUCUAUUAUUGCUGUUUUUUAAAUAAAGAAGAUAAACUUUGAAGAGAUUAAUAAAUUAAUAAAUUGGUCCUCCAUGGCACAGAUUAAUAAAUAGCAGAACCUUGAUUCAAAUUCUAAUUUUGUCCUCGAUAUUAACUUCCUAAUCCUAACGUUAUAAUGUUGUUUCAUGUUGUUAUGUGUUACUUUUAUGGAUUACAAAAGGUUAAAAACCCAUUUAUAUCAGUUUAAGAAAAAGCAGAAAUCAUAGGAAGGUACUUCCCCCUUUCUAUGAGGGGUUUCAUAGAAACCAAGUACAGGAAUGCAGCUGGGCCUCAGGAAUAGCAGAAACCAGGGAAUAAAGACUGACCAAACUUUGUUUCCACCUCUGCCCCAGCCACCUCACCACCUUCCACCACACUCCACCAAUUCCCUCCACCCCCGCUCUACCCCCACCCCACCCCCGCCCCGCAUUGUCUUACUCACUUAGUCCACUUAGUGGAAACCAUAGUUACUGUGAGCUUUCUAUCUUUUAGUCCAAAUAUUCAAUGCCCAAAAAGAGAUGCUUGACUGCUUGACUUUUUUUUUUUCUAAUCACAAACAACACUAAUUGUGGGGAUGGAACACUUUGGCUAGGUUUAGGUCAUUGUGCAUUCUAAAACUAUUAUCUAUUCAUUUUCUUAAAUCAAGAAUAUUUUGAAAAUGUUUUAUAUGUCUGACACUGUCUGUAGUACUGUGAAUCCAGCAGUGAACCAGACAAACAAGAUCUUAUAUUCUAUAGAGAGAGACAGGGAAUAAGUAAGUUAAAAUAUAUAAUAAAUAUCCAAGAGGCAAAUACAUAUAUAAGAGAAAUACAUAAGCUAAUUUCAAAUAGUACUAUGUUAAAACAAGGUAAUAUAAAGCAAAUGAUUGAUGGGGUGGAGGAGUGGAGGUCAAUAUUAGAUAUAUAAGAGAAUAGUUAUCUGAGAUAACAUCUAAAUAGAGACCCAGAUGACAGGAAAAAAACAGCCGUCAAAAAAUCAGGAAAAUGAUGGCAGGCAGAGAGGAUGAAGGGUACAAACGCAAUGAGCUGAGAAUAUUAGGCAGCCAGGAUGGCUAGAACCUAGUAAGCAAAUGGGAAAAAUGUAGGAAAUAAGUUAGAGGCAGGGAGGCAGAUAGGGACUAAAGUUAUGUAUAGGAGGCUCUGCAAGGCAUUUGAAUGUUAUUCAUGUGGAAAAAGUUAUAGCCAAAGGGAGGAUGCUAUGAUUUUCUCAAGUUGGGUUAGGUACCCUUUGGGUUAUGUUUUAAUUUGACAGCUUUUGUUGCAGCCAGAAGAUUGUAGAAUGAAGUGGAGUGUUUCCCAUGAGAGCUGUGGUUCUGGGCAGAUAAAGCAAUGCACAGUUCUAUUCUCUUCACAAUUCUGUUCAGGUACUUCUGCUAUAAAUCCCCUUAACAGUCAGUCCCCCCACUGUCAAUCACAGUAGCCACUGCUCUUCCAAAACCAGCUUUAUCUAGGUUUAUUUUCUACCAGUUUUCCACAUUUUAAAUUUUCUUAUCUUUUAUACAAUUUUAAGGCUGUUUAAAAGGGCUAGCUCAAUUGAAAUAUGAAUAACUUUCCAGCGUUGGAAAGUGAUCUUUGUUAUGCUGAAUUCAUUGAUUGAUUACCUGAUAGUAACACUUAUUUGAAUUACUGUCUCUUGCCUCUAGGCAUUGGCUUCCAGGUAGAUUUCACUGGGCUUUGUAUUUUAAAGUUUCCUAUCUUCCAAGCUCUGUUAUUUGCCAUGCUUAUUUUCAGCUUUCUUAGGAAAAAAAUGAUUGGAUCCUGGGGGCAUUUGCUAGAUAUCUGGCAAGGAGCAUCACACAGGUAUAAAAGCAAGUCAACCUAACUGAGGAAAAUGGAGUAAAAUGGAAAAGGAUGCCAGUAGAAAGGAGAGAAUCUGGGAAGGGGAAAAAAAAAAGGGAAACUAUUAUAGACAGUCAGGUAGUAGUCAUAUCAAAAAACAAAGGAGUGCCCCCAAAGAGUUAUGAAUUGCUGCAGGAGAAUUAAUGAGAUGGAAAAUUUCUCAAGGAAAAAGAGCCAAGUAUAUAUAAAGGGGAGAAAAGCAUAAAAGGAAGAAAAAAAAAAUAAGGGAAAAGAAAAAAUUUUUAAAAACCCCAAGUGCAAAGUGAAAGAGUAAAACAAAAGAAAGGAUAAAUGAGGAAAUGGUGCCUUGCAUUAAAGCAAAUGUAUUCUGUUUUCUUUAUUCUUAUCUUUAACUGGCUUUGCAUUUCUCGGGUAGCAAAGCCAAACUGAAAGGAUAAUUUUGUUUAUGUACCCAAUUUGCAUAAUUGUGCAAUAUAAAUUACAAUGCUAAUUAAGGACAGCCCUUGGGCUUCUGGAAUUGGGUCAAAGUGGCUCCCCAAGUGCAGGGAGGUUGGGGCAUUGGCUCUGUCCCCUCUCCCACUGCAGGGAAGCUGGGCAACAAAAAAGAACCUCUCUGACAGUGUGUGAAAUCUUGUCAGAAUUUGUUGAAGACCCAGAACUGUAUGUCUCAUUCCCAGACUUGGCUUUUAAAAUCAUUUUUGUGUGAUUCCGCAAUGAGGCUCUUGAAAGCUAAAAUUUCUUCUAAAUGUGGUGUUGGUUAUCAUUUUAUGAGUCCCCUCCCAUUUUUUUUUUUUUUAAUUCAGAGAAUUUUGGUUGAAACAUUGUAGAUAACUGCACAUGAACCUGGCAUGCAAUAUUUUCUCACUGGACUCUUGCCAGAAUUGUCUCAAACCAGUGGAUGAUAUACUCUGCUCAGGCUUUUAUGGAGCCAGGGGAAGAUGACAAGCUGAUUUCUGAGCUUGAGUUAAAUCCAUGUCCUUAAAACUAACUAAACAAUUGUACCAUAACUACAUCAAAUUCAGUCCCAGAGCAUUUAUUCCCUGCACUGUUCAUAAUAGAGAAUUGAGAGGUAUAGAGUUCUUAUCAUUUUUAGCUUGGGGUUUUCAAGGAAAGAAUUACUUCUGAGUUACUGUUGUGAAGGCUGGCAUAACUAUUUUGGAGGAACCUCUGUUUAGGUCUGUUUUGAAGGUGGUGUUUGGCAAGCCUUUGGUAGCCAUUGAAACUUGACCUCAAGCAAGUUGUAUGCAAAGUAGAAACAAGCAGCUCUCAAUCACUCAAGUACCUGAGGCACUAGUGAGGGAGACCGAUUAUCCUUUCUCCGUCAUCUCUAUUCACUUUCCUUUUUCUCCUUCUCCUUUUGAGAAAGUGUAAGCCACUUUUAUAAGAGAUUUAUGAUCUACCUUACUUGGGUAACAGCAUAACAGUUAAGGCUGCUAGUUGUAUACACAUGAUUUUGACUUUGAAAUACCAAGAAGCUCUUUCCACUGGGAUAAUUAUAGGAGUAAUUGGAAAAUACGUGACCUGUGUUACUUUGUUUGCUAGAGCAAUGUUUUCCAAACUCUUUCAUGUCCAGACAUAUGAAAAAACAAAAAGAUAACUAUGUGAUCCUGGGGUGCUAUAGUCCGAAUAUUUUUGUACCCCCUUGGAGGUAAAGAUAACCCCCAAGGUAAUGGGAUGAGAAGGUGGGGCCUUUGGAAGGCAGUUGAAUCAUAUUGGUGGAGUGCUCGUCAAUGGAGUAAGUGCCCUUAUAAAGGUGGCCUAAAAGAGGCUCCUUGCUCCUUCUGCCGUAUGAUAUUUCAGUGAGAAGACAGCUAUUUCUAAAGAAGCGGGCCCUCAGGAAACUUGGAACCUAUCGUCCCUUGAUCUUGGACUUUCCAACCUCCAGAACUAGGAGGAAAAUAUUGUGUUGUUUUUAAGCCACCCAGUCUAUGGUAUAGCAAUCUGAACAGACUAAGACAUAGGGUAAACUAGAGGAGAAUUGGGACUGUGGGCAGGGCCGAUCAGGUUCCAAGGUGACUGGAUCUUUGGCUCUGACCAACUCAACCUUCCAAUUUCCUGAAACUAAGGGGUUGGUAUCUCGUGGCAUGUCAGUAUAUCUCGAGCAAGGUCCCACACCGUAAUCCAUGCAGCAACAAUGUUCAAGUGAUCAUUCGUAAGGAGUCCAUGGUCAAACCAGCAUGGCGUAAGUUGGGUUAAACACACAGACUUAAACAUGUUUAUCGCAAGGAUUGUGACAUUAGCAACCCUUAUUUUUACCACUUAUUCUCUUUUUCCCUGUGGAACCCACCUCUCUGUGCUCUCGCUUUUCUCCACGUGGUUUGGGUGGAACUAGCCUACCCUUGGCUGUAAAGGAGGGCGCUUGACCUGUUCCAGUCAGUGAGAGUAGCGUAUGCCCCAGGCCAUAGGGAUUGGUUCAGGCUGACAGGAGACUAGAGCAUGGCAAAUCAGAGUCAGACUCAGGAACACUAGACAAAUUUGGGAAAUUCUUCGUAGUAUUUUUUGAGCAGGUAGAUAAAACUACGAAUGAAUUUUCUAAGUUACUACUGGUAUCCAAGAUAAUAUACUUCUCAUUUUGCUGAAGCUAGUCUGAAUUGGGUAUUAUUUUCAACUGGAGAAGACUUGAUAUUUAUUUUUAUUUCCUAAGAUUCAGGUCUAAUAGAUCAUGUUCCUGCUUAAAAGUCUCCAGGACUCACCAUUGCAUAUGGGAUAAAGUCUGAGUAAUUGUAACUGAUCUAUAUGUUUUACCUAUAAUUGCAGUAAAUGUGGGGGCGGGUUCUCUCUCACUAGUUUAUUGAUGAGAGUGUUAGCUAAGAGUAAACAGGGUGGUGAGAGUCUGUAGUCUAGUUAAGUAUCCUUUUAAUAUGUUGGUUGAGGGGUUCUCAACAAACAGAUUGCUUUUUGCUCCUAGAGUUGGUCAUGCCUUUGGGUAGAUUUUUUUUUUCUUUUUUUCUGCAAUUGUUCAGGUGGAUUUAGUAACUCCAGCCUUUCUUUCUGGCCUAUACUUUGGUACUAAUUAUAAAGGCAUAAUCUUGACAAUGUAGACAUUUUAGAGAAUACUCCUUCUGAUGGUUGUAUAUGUAUUGAGAACAAUUACUCUAAAGCAGUGAUUCUUAAAGUGUCGUCCCUGUACCAGCAGUAUUGCCACCUGGGAAAUUGUUAGCGAUGUAAAGUCUUGGGCCAAACCUCAGAUCCAUUGAAUCAGAAAAUCUGGGGAUGAUGGCCAGCAAUUUGUAUUUUAACAAGGUGAUUCUCUUGCAUGACAGUUUUCAAAUGGUUGACAAGAAAGGUCAAAGCCUGGAGAAUAUCUUGGUUGAGGACUUCCUAAAAUCUUCUAUCUCAUUACCCCAGUAUACUUUCCUCAUACCUUUUUAAUUGCUAUUUCACUAGAGUUUUUACUUCUCUCAGGAACUCAUUUAACUGGGUUUUUAGUUUUGCAAUUUUAUGCCCCCUCUGCGUGGAUGUCUAUUGUCAGGUUCUCACUUUUCUUGAUUAUUUUCCUGGAAAAUUAAAAGAUCAAGUCAACUGGAUUUUUAUUAGUUCAACUUCCAUUAUAUCUUCUUCAGGGUGGAGUUUAAAAUUAUCAUAUAUACUUGCUCCCCCCCCCAACUCCUUAGAUUUACCAUCUUGUUGAUUUCAGACUAGUAUUUAAAUCAUAUUUCCUAGAUAGGCAACUGAUGCCAUUGUGAGAUACAAAAUAGUUCAUAUAACAUAGCAAGGGGAUAUCAUUCUAGAAUUAAACUCAUGUUAUAGAAAUUUCAUCACGAAGGUAAAACACAUUUGUACAAAUUGAAUUUUGACUGUAUUUGCAUCCCAAGCAGUAGACCAAGACAGACACUGUUUAAUCGUUUAGAGCAUCAGCUAUGAAGUCAGACUUCCUGAGUUCAGAUCUAACCCACCACUUGCUGAUUAUGUGGCCUUGGGCAAACCCUCUGUACCUCAGUUUCUUUUUCUGCCUGAAUAAGGAAAAUGCUCAGUAAAUUUUAGUUAAUGUUAUAGCUUUUGAGGCAACAUUCUGAGAAAGGUGCCUUCACGUAAUAGCCAGGCAAGGUUUGUCUAAACUAAAAUCGUGUCUGUAUAAACACACAUAAAGGCUCGUAUUUUGAAGACAAAGAUAAUUGGUUGAGAAUGAUUAAACCUAUACUGGUAAAUGAAAAUAACAAACAGUUCUUAUAAAACUUGCAGUAUGUACUCAAACUUAACAUAACUUUAAUUGAUGUGCUAUCAGAUUUAGUUUAGUUCACAUUAACCCAAGCCCAGAAACUUGCACCAAUUUUAGCUAAGAUAAUAGUCUCUGUUAUUUCUAAUCUACUCUCUUUUUAUUUGACUAGAAGUUCUUAUUUUCCUUUUCUGAGGGCCUAAUUCUCUUCUAACUCCACUUACUCAGAUGUUAUCAUCAUGUUUAUAAAUGGAUCAGUCUCAGGUGUUGUUACUUUCAUGCCUGUGAGCACAUAUUAUUGUUUGAAAAAAAGUGUUCUAAAGUUUUUAAAUAGCUAAAAAUUUAUGUAAAAAUUCUUGCUAUACCGCAGCCCAGAAGAGCUAUGGCUUUUCUCCACUAUGGCUAUGAUGCCUGCCAGGAAUUGUUAGUUGUCCCAGUAAUGUCCCUAAUACCUGUAUGAAUAAUCUUUGGGUGACUGGGCAUAGAAUUUUACACUCUACAGCAUACUGGCUAUAUUUGCUUCUUCACAGUUACACCCAUCAUAUACUGUCUGGUCUUAAAAAUUCACUUGCAUAUUACAUAUAUACCUGCAUUUGCUUAUUUAAAAACUAUUAAAUGUCAGAUACUGUUCUAGGCUUAAGGGUUAAGCAAGCUAGGCUUAAGUAAACUUAACGGUUUACUUAAGUCCCUGCCAUUAUGAUGCUUAUAUUAACAAUGAAAUAAACUGUAAUCAUUCUAGAAGGCAGAAACAGAAAGUUUUCUUUUCGCCUUUUUCUUAGCAGAGCGCUGGAAACAUAAGUAGGUGCUUAAUAGAGACUCCUGGAUUAUUGAAAUUUAUACUAUACUUAAACAUUAGGAACUCCUGAGGAGCCUGGCUGAAGAAGGAAGCUCAGCAAAUGCAGGCUUAUGAAGUGGAAGAUUAUUUGAGCAGCAAAUCACUUUAGAGAAUACCGAGUAGAACUUUCUUAGGUGAAAUAACAGAAAAUACCUGUUGUUUUAGUAAGGGAGGAGACCACCCCUCAUAUUGUCUUAUGCUGAAUUUCUGCCUCCAAAGAAAACACAAGUAAAAACUAAAAGACAGAAAUGAAAUCCACAGGCAGGCAGCCCAGCACCACACCCUGGGCCUGGUAGUUAAAGAUCAACCCCUGACCUAAUUGGUUCUGUUAUCUAUAAAUUACAGACGUUGUAUAGAAAAGCACUGUGAAAAUCCCUGUCCUGCUCUGUUCCAUUCUAAUUACCGGUGCAAGCAGCCCCCAGUCACGUACCCCCUGCUUGCUCAAUUGAUCAUGACCCUCUCACGUGGACCCCCUUAGAGUUGUGAGCCCUUAAAAGGGACAGGAACUGCUCACUCAGGGAACUCAGUUGUUGGAGACAUGAGUCUUGCCGAAGCUCCCGGCCGAAUAAAGUCCUUCCUUCUUUAA